AAGAAAAAACCAUAUGUGAAUCUCUGGUAGCAUCAGAGGGCGUUGAUUUGAAAUUUGAGGAGGCUCUUCUGUCAUCCCUUCUUGGAUAAGAUUGUGUCGCAGUUCUUGUAUUACAUGUUAUUGGGUGAUUUACAUUAUACAUUCUGUUUGAGCAAGAACAAGCGCUGGUAUUCAGUAGCAACUCCAUGAAUACACGAUUGGUUGUUAUCGAAGUACUCAAGUCUGAGGGUUAUGGAUCCAUGCACCUAUUUCUCCAACCAGAGAGUGCAUAAAGCCAAGCGACAUCCUAGCGGCAGAGUUUUGAGAAGCUCAGUGUUAGUGCGCACAUGCAAUGGAAAUGCAGUUCUCCUUCCUAAACAUCGUUCGAGCCUCGAGGCAUCCCUUCCUACUCUUUUAGGAGAAACCCGCUUUCAUACUGAUUGUGUUCAC